UUGGUUAUUCAUAAUUGUUGUUAUUAACUUGAUUAAACAAGAACAGAGGUAUUGUUUAUGAACAAAGGUUUCUCUUGAGGAUUGUACCUUGAACAAUGAAGAAGCUUUCACUUUCUAGGAAUGCUCUCUGCUCAAAGUGUAACGACAUGGGGACUUGGGAUGACUAUAUGGCUUAUAGACGAAGGAUGGACCAAAACCUAUUGGGC